rnacentral:rRNA from 1 species
AACGAACGCUGGCGGCAUGCCUAACACAUGCAAGUCGAACGACACCUUCGGGACUAGUGGCGCACGGGUGCGUAACGCGUGGGAACCUGCCCUUAGGCUCGGAAUAACUCCUCGAAAGGGGUGCUAAUACCGGAUAAUUUCUUCGGACCAAAGAUUUAUCGCCCUUGGAUGGGCCCGCGUUGGAUAAGCUAGUUGGUAGGGUAAAAGCCUACCAAGGCGACGAUCCAUAGCUGGUCAGAGAGGAUGAUCAGCCACACUGGGACUGGGACACGGCCCAGACUCCUACGGGAGGCAGCAGUGGGGAAUAUUGGACAAUGGGCGAGAGGCUGAUCCAGCAAUGCCGCGUGAGUGAUGAAGGCCUUAGGGUUGUAAAGCUCUUUUACCCGGGAUGAUAAUGACAGUACCGGGAGAAUAAGCUCCGGCUAACUCCGUG